GAUGACAGUGUUGUGUGGAUUAACUGCAGCUAGGCAGUGGAAUGAACAGCCAUUUCUGAAUAAAUCCAAAAUCAUCAGAUCCGAUGAGCCUGUGAAGGUUCCAUCAAUAAAAUCAGAAAACACUAGAA